rnacentral:rRNA from 1 species
AGAACGAACGCUGGCGGCAUGCCUAAUACAUGCAAGUCGAACGAACUCUUCGGAGUUAGUGGCGCACGGGUGCGUAACGCGUGGGAAUCUGCCCCUUGGUUCGGAAUAACAGUUGGAAACGACUGCUAAUACCGGAUGAUGACGAAAGUCCAAAGAUUUAUCGCCAAGGGAUGAGCCCGCGUAGGAUUAGCUAGUUGGUGAGGUAAAGGCUCACCAAGGCAACGAUCCUUAGCUGGUCUGAGAGGAUGAUCAGCCACACUGGGACUGAGACACGGCCCAGACUCCUACGGGAGGCAGCAGUAGGGAAUAUUGGACAAUGGGCGCAAGCCUG